rnacentral:lncRNA from 1 species
AUGCCCGUCACCAAUCUGGGCCGCUUGGUCAAGGACAUGAAGAUCAAGUCCCUGGAGGAGAUCUCUUUCUUCUCCCUGCCCCAUUAAGGAAUCUGAAAUCAUUGACUUUUUCCUGGGGGCCUCUCUCGAGGACGAGGUUUUGAAGAUAAUGCCGGUGCAGAAGCAGACCCAUGCUGGCCAGCGCACAGGUUCAAGGCGUUUGUUGCUAUUGGGGACUACAAUGGCCACGUAGGCCUGGGUGUUAAGUGCUCCAAGGAGGUGGCCACCGCCAUCCGUGGGGCUAUCAUCCUGCCCAAGCUCUCCAUUGUCCCCGUGCACAGAGGCUACUGGGGGAACAAGACUGGCAAGCCCCACACCGUCCCUUGCAAGGUGACAGGCCUCUGUGGCUCUGUGCUGGCGCGCCUCAUCCCUUAACCCAGGGGCACUGGCAUCGUCUCCGCAUCUGUGCCCAAGAAGCUGCUCAUGAUGGCUGGUACUGAUGACUGCUACACCUCAGCCCGGGGCUGCACUGCCACCCUGGGCAACUUCGCCAAGGCCACCUUGAUGCCAUCUCUAAGACCUACAGCUACCUGACCCCCGACCUCUGGAAGGAGACUAUAUUUACCAAGUCUCCCUAUCAGGAAUUCACUGA